GUGAGGAAUAUUGGACAAUGGGGGAAACCCUGAUCCAGCCAUGCCGCGUGAAUGAUGAAGGCCUUCGGGUUGUAAAGUUCUUUUGGAGGGGACGAUGAUGACGGUACCCUCAGAAUAAGCUCCGGCUAACUUCGUGCCAGCAGCCGCGGUAAUACGAAGGGAGCUAGCGUUGUUCGGAAUUACUGGGCGUAAAGGGCGCGUAGGCGGUUUGGUCAGUCAGAUGUGAAAGCCCAGGGCUUAACCCUGGAACUGCGUUUGAUACUGCCAAGCUUGAAUUCGGGAGAGGUGAGUGGAAUUCCCAGUGUAGAGGUGAAAUUCGUAGAUAUUGGGAAGAACACCAGUGGCGAAGGCGGCUCACUGGACCGACAUUGACGCUGAGGCGCGAAAGCGUGGGGAGCAAACAGGAUUAGAAACCCCGGUAGUCC
rnacentral:rRNA from 1 species